CCGCGCCUCCGGGGGUGGGGUGGGGGGCCCGAAGCGGCGUCCCAGCUUGCUGCCUACGGCGGCCACCGCGAGGGCUUAGCGGUUAGAACCCAAAACAGAUCUUGUUGUCGCUAAGGAGACUCGAAGGGGAAGGGAGCCUCGGUCGCGCACUGAGAAGAUCGACGGGGGCGGGAUUCUAGAACUUGCACUGGGGAGACCCGAGUGAGCGGGAGCCCCAGAUGGGAACUGAGUGGACAGGAGGACUAGUAAAAGAUGAGCGCAGGUAAAGCAUUCUGUAUGGCCUCUCAGCUGACGAUCUCAUCCUAAGGUGCUAUGCCAGAAUGGGGCCUGAAGAGGUCCAGAAUCUGGAGCAUAAACUGACCGCAGGAGUGGUGCUGCAGCGUGUCAACGUCCGCUCCCAUCACUUAGCGAAACAGAAGAGCCUGUCCCUCGGACCAACCCUCCAAUGAGUUCUUCAGCCUUCCUAAAGGCUGGGCACCAGGCAGUCUCUACAGGGGUCCUUGUGGGCAAUCUACUCAGGUCCAGCUAUUGCUGAAGUUCAAAUGUUAAGCCAACCUUGCGUUCAGGAGAAAGCCAGCUUGGAACUAGCCUUGGAGAUAGCCUAGAAUUCCAGUGAGGAACCUCUCUGCUUGGCUACCCACCCAGAACCUUGCUUCAUGGGCUACUGUGGAGGCAUGAGAGUGAUGGAAAAUCCUUGGAGCUGCAACUGGACCUGCGGACUGGCUGCCAAGCACUGUCUGCCCAUCUGCUGUACCCCGAUGAUGCUAUGGCUAGGCCUAGGAGAGGCCUGUCAAGCCCCAUUUUCUAAGAAGUCAUUGCAGGCAGCUCUGGAUGUGGUGAAAAUAGGUCACUCACUCACUGGACAUGAGUCCUUCCUCGGGUUUCAGAUUCCUCAUCAGAGAAGUUACAAUUGUCUCAAAGGGAAGUCAUCUAUUUUAAAAAGUAGAUUAAAAAUAAAAUCU